GCAUUGUUAAAGCGAGCCGUGCUCAAUUUUUACGACCUGGUUUUUUUUGGGAGGGUUUUAAGCGAACCGCUGCACCACAGCUACCGUAGUCCUCGAGUGACGACGGCACUUGAGCCCAAAAUUUCCUAAGGCUAAGCGAGAUAGGUGUUAAAAUGAACCGUGCCCCAAUUUUAUGGCCUUCCUUGUUAAGGGAAUCACUGCAGUUGUUAAGUGAGUCGCAAGUCGUUAAGUGGAUCCGGCUUCCCCGUGGACUUUGCUUGUCAGGAGGUCACAAAAGGGGAUCGCGUGACACACAUACCCCCGGGACACUGCCACCGUCAUAAAUACGAGUCAGUGGCCAAGUGUCUGAAUUUGGCUCACGGGACCAUGGGGAUGUUGCAAUGGUCGUAAGUGUGAAAAACAGCCCUUUUCCCCAGGGCCGUGUCAACUCGCAAAGCAUCCCUGGCCUCCUCUCGAGUUGCCAUAGGCCAAGGGGGAUGGGAAACAGGCGAAACGGCAUGGCAGCCAAAGACAAAUACACAUUCCAGACUUACUCAAGGUGUCUCCCAGGGUUACCCAAAGCAGCCGGAGGGGAGUGAUCUCUACAACCAGCAUGGCGAAUGUGAUUGAUGACACACCCUGGGGGAGGGAAGGGGGGGGAAACAUGUUUGGGGCGUAAAUUACGUAGGGUCAGACUGGCUUCAGUUGGGAACGUGCCGACACGAAGCGCCUAAUAAAUAACUGGAUUUCGUUUGAAGCUUGGCUCGAGGCUCAUGAUCUGAAUGCGACCUGUAAUUCUCCAAGUCAACCAGGUAGCAUCAAAUUUAUGUGGUAUAACCUGUUUCAAAGGUAUUUCCUUAUUUCCUCAUCUUUUCAGGUGAGUUACUUUCAUGCCGAGCUGCUAAAAAAGACAACAAUUUCAUCCCGGCUUCCCAGAGGAUAAUUGUGAUGUGGUGACAGGCGAGGCGUGGAAAGGAAGGCCGGUGGAUUUAGCAAAGAGGAUAAAAGAUUGCCCACAAAGGUGUCACAAGGCUGAUUUUGAAAAAGCUGGUCUGGCAAGAAGGAUAUAUUUUUUCCCCCCCCCAAAUUCGGGGCAAAUUCGAAGGAAGACAGCGAAGAAACCCAGCGAUUAAAAUCGCCGUCAAGAAUAUCGACAGGCUACGAAGAUCCAUCUGCGGGCAGGGGGCUGGGGUGUCCUGAUCUCCAAGUUUCCUGAUUUUGCAAAGAUUGUGGGGAGGGGAUUAUGGCGUCGGUGACAACGCAGCUUGUCAUUUGGGUCUUCUUGCUGU